rnacentral:rRNA from 1 species
GAUGAACGCUGGCGGCGUGCUUAACACAUGCAAGUCGAACGAUUGAAGCUGGAGCUUGCUCCAGCCGAUUUAGUGGCGGACGGGUGAGUAACGCGUGGGUAACCUGCCUCAUACAGGGGGAUAGUAGUUGGAAACGACUGGUAAAACCGCAUAAGCGCACGGUGUCGCAUGACACAGUGUGAAAACACUCCGGUGGUAUGAGAUGGACCCGCGUCUGAUUAGCUAGUUGGUGAGGUAACGGCCCACCAAGGCGACGAUCAGUAGCCGGCCUGAGAGGGUGAACGGCCACAUUGGGACUGAGACACGGCCCAAACUCCUACGGGAGGCAGCAGUGGGGAAUAUUGCACAAUGGGGGAAACCCUGAUGCAGCGACGCCGCGUGAGUGAUGAAGUAUUUCGGUAUGUAAAGCUCUAUCAGCAGGGAAGAUAAUGACGGUACCUGACUAAGAAGCA